AAACAGAAAGAGCUGCACUUAGAAUCCACUUACAAGUAUAGACCUUAGGAUGUCUUCAGCUGCAAGUGGUAGAAAAUCCUAACUGGCAUUGAUACAAAUAAUAAGGGGCUUAAUAUUUCACGUAAGAAGCACCCAAGGAGGGCAGCUCUAGGCCCAUCAGGGCGUCAGCGCAUUUCUGUGAUUUUCAUGGCUUCAUGUGUUGGUUUCAUCCUGAGACUGGCUGCAAGAUGGCUGUAGCAACCACUGACGAAUUGUGUGGACAGAACAGGGGCUGCUGAUCAUGGUGCAGAAGUUGCCCCAAGGACAUCUUCUCAAGUCCCAUUGGCCAGAAUAGGGAUAUAUGCCCUCCCUUGAACCAGCCACCUACGAGGAGAAUGGGAUUGCCACGAUGAGCUCAGUCUUAGGAUGUCUACCUCCUGCGUACUUCCCGAGCGUGUCCAGAGUGAGUUGAGAUGAUCAGCUCUACUGCCCCCACCACCCCCGAAUACAGACCCGGGGAGAGCCUGUGCCAGCUCACACGGGACUAAUCAGACCUAAGACAAUUUUUAGACCCAGGACCCAUUGAUGAAUAGAAAGCCUGAGUCCAAAGGGAGAAGACUGCUGAGCAAUCACAGACAAUGCAGAGAAUCCCCAUCAGCAAGAAGGCCCUCACCAGACAUCACCCCUCGACUUUGGUCUUCUCAGUCUCUGGAACUAUAAGA
rnacentral:lncRNA from 1 species